CCUACGUGUGGCAGCAGUGGGGAAUAUUGCACAAUGGAGGGAACCCUGAUGCAGCAAUGCCGCGUGAAGGAUGAAGGUUUUCGGAUUGUAAACUUCUUUUGUACGGGACGAAGACAGUGACGGUACCGUGAGAAUAAGCCACUGUUAACUACGUGCCAGCAGCCGCGGUAAUACGGAGGUGGCAAGCAUUAUCCGGAUUUAGUGGGUGUAAAGGGCGAGUAGGCGGGAUGGCAAGUCAGAUGUGAAAACUAGGUGCUCAACAGAUAGAGUGCAUUUGAAACUGAAGAUCUUGAGUGAUGGGGAGGCAGGCGGAAUGCACGGUGUAGCGGUGGAAUGCGUAGAGAUC
rnacentral:rRNA from 1 species